AAAGCUCCAGGCUCAGAGACGGCCCUACAUGAGGGCGAUCAAAGAGGUGGCGGCGUGGAUCCGCCCAGCAAUCCGGCGCCACUUAGGCUGGAAUCCCCCUCGUGUCCCCAGAGUGGCCCACCAGCGGAGCCGGAGACCAGCACAGAGGGAAACAACGCCAAGUAUCCUAGGCACCAGCACUGGUGCUCCCACGCCUCGGAGGGGAUCCUGCAAAUAUGCCAAACCCGCCUACACAUCAGCGGCCCCAACUGCC